UUUCUCUCACUUGUAUUUUUCCUCACAUUUCUUCUCCUCCUUUCUCUGGUUAUCACUCUUUCAGGGAAGCUUUGGUAGCUUCGCUUCUAAUAAGAUAUGGAGCAGUUGUGUACGCGAAGAAAAGAAGAAGGCAGUGUGGUUGAACAAGCUUUACAUGAUCUUCGCGCAACAUCAAUUAAUGUCGCUAAGACGAUUAUUGAAGGAUAAAACCCCCUGGUCUCACUAGCCAGACAAUAGAUUCAAGGAAAACUCUCUAAGUACUUAGAAGAGGAAUUAUAUAACAUACACCUGAACUUAUGUUUGUUGAACAUAUGUGUAUAGCUCCCGAAGAGAAAAACAUAUAUAUAGUUAUGUAGGUUCUUAUAUAUUAUUAGUUGUGGUAGUAAAUCCAUGAAGAUAUUACAUAGGUCAUAGAAGGUAUAUUUAAGAUAUGAAAGUAUUUAACUCCAUAUAUUCAAGAAAAUGAUUCCAUUAUCUUUUAUUCCCCAUUUUCCGUUACAGGAAAUAUUUCUACACUUUCCUUUCAGCCUUUAGCACUUGCAUUGAGAAUCUCUUCUAUCUAUGCACAUAACCCUAAUGAUUGUUGCCCUUUCAUUUUAAAGAAAAAAAGUGUGGUAUACAGAAGUCAUUUUAUGAGUGAUAGAUGAAGUAGGAAUUGACUUCUUAUAUAUGCUAUUUGGACUGAGUUUGUUUUGGUAAUUCAGUAGCUUACUAUUGGAGAACCACUCAUUUCCCUAUUAUAUUUACUUCUGUGUAUCAAUUGGUUUCAAAUUGUAUCAAUAUCUCAUGACACAAUUGCUUCACAUUAGAACCUGAUAAAGAAAAGAUACUAACAGAGACUGGAACAGUGAAACUUGUGUCAAAGGUGCAAAAGGAAAACAAAAGGUGCAGAGGUUGAUUAGAUGAGCACACUUUAAAGUAUAAAUCAGGGACAACCGUGAAGCAAGCCGAAUUUAAUUGGAAUUCGAAUACAGUAAUGGUGUUGGGCUUUGCAUUUUAAUUUUGUAAUAAAUUGUUCAGUGUCAUAUUUCGAUCUUCUUCAGUUGUUUUAAGCCUAAACAGUGCCUUGCUGACUAGCUUUGAUCUAGAAGUUGGGCUGCUUAUCUUCCUCUUCCUGUAAAAAUAUGCAGUUGUUAGCAUUUGAACAUGGCAUCAAGUGAGAUCACUGCAUAGAGGUUGAUUCUUUGCAACUUAAUCAUUCUUUAGUAAUGUUGGUUAAACAUACAGCAGUUUGAUGGAAAUUUAGACAAGUCUUUGUUGCUUCACGCAACUUUAAGAGCCCCUAUCCUGUGCAUAUUCGGAAGAUUUAAAACAAACAAAUACCCUUAAUAUCAUUUCAAAUUGUGGAGAGUUGUAUAGUUCAAUACCAUCCUGGUCCGACGAGGUUUUGGAAAUUUGACGCUGAUAUUUACUGGAUAAAUGUGUCGACCUUUCAAGAAUGCCCCAAAAUUAGUAGAGACAAAUUUUGUUGAUGGUACUACACACUGU